CGAGUACUCCCUCCGUUCAGAAUUACUUGUCACAAAAAUGGAUGUAUCUACAACUAAAAUACAUCUAGAUACAUUUACUUUUUGGACAAGUAAUUCCGAACGGAGGGAGUAGUAC
rnacentral:pre_miRNA from 1 species